UUGAAGAUGUAUAUAGUAGGAAAAGUUCAAGUUUUUGGAUUGGUCCUUUUUGUUUGCUUUAUAAAGAGUUGUUAGUUUUGUGAAUUAUUUACAGAUCAAUGAAUGAGUUAAGAUCUCUAAUCUAUAUAUACAUUUUUGCAGUCAUUUUGUGAAAUAAAUCCUGCAAUUGGAACUUAUUUACAAUGGCUGUCACUGGCUUAUUAAAUGCAAAAAUUAACUACCAAAUCAAAGCAAAUCUUAUUCAAAAGAAUAUGCUUUUAUUUCAUGGCCUAAUUAUUUUUGCCAAAAUGGUUA
rnacentral:sRNA from 1 species